rnacentral:rRNA from 1 species
UACGUAGGGUGCGAGCGUUGUCCGGAAUUAUUGGGCGUAAAGGGCUCGUAGGCGGUUUGUCACGUCGGGAGUGAAAACUCGGGGCUUAACCCCGAGCCUGCUUUCGAUACGGGCAGACUGGAGGUAUGCAGGGGAGAACGGAAUUCCUGGUGUAGCGGUGAAAUGCGCAGAUAUCAGGAGGAACACCGGUGGCGAAGGCGGUUCUCUGGGCAUGUCCUGACGCUGAGGAGCGAAAGUGUGGGGAGCGAACAGG